rnacentral:rRNA from 1 species
UGCCUAACACAUGCAAGUCGAACGGUUCUUUCUUUUGGAAGNUUGCUUCCGAUCGAGAGAAUAGUGGCGAACGGGUGAGUAACACGUGGGUAACCUGNCCNNANGNGGGGGAUAACAUCCGGAAACGGGUGCUAAUACCGCAUAGUUUUUUUGAUCGCAUGAUCGAGAAAGGAAAGACGGCCUUUGUGCUGUCGCUUAUGGAUGGACCCGCGGCGUAUUAGUUAGUUGGUGAGGUAAUGGCUCACCAAGACGAUGAUACGUAGCCGACCUGAGAGGGUGAUCCGCCACAUUGGGACUGAGACACGGCCCAAACUCCUACGGGGGGCAGCAGUAGGGAAUCUUCCGCAAUGGACGAAAGUCUGACGGACCAACGCCGCGUGAGUGAAGAANGUUUUCGGAUCGUCAAACUCUGUUGUCANANAAGAACAAGUCNGAGAGUAACUGCNCCGGCCUGNACGGUAUCUGACCNNAAAGCC